AUGGCUCAGACGAACGCUGGCGGCAGGCCUAACACAUGCAAGUCGAGCGCGCCCUUCGGGGUGAGCGGCGGACGGGUUAGUAACGCGUGGGAACGUACCCUUUGGUAGGGAAUAGCCACUGGAAACGGUGAGUAAUACCCUAUGAGCCCUUCGGGGGGAAAGAUUUAUCGCCAAAAGGAUCGGCCCGCGUUAGAUUAGGUAGUUGGUGGGGUAAUGGCCUACCAAGCCUACGAUCUAUAGCUGGUUUUAGAGGAUGAUCAGCAACACUGGGACUGAGACACGGCCCAGACUCCUACGGGAGGCAGCAGUGGGGAAUCUUGGACAAUGGGGGCAACCCUGAUCCCAGCCAUGCCGCGUGAGUGAAGAAGGCCUUAGGGUCGUAAAGCUCUUUCGCCUGUGAAGAUAAUGACGGUAGCAGGUAAAGAAACCCCGGCUAACUCCGUGCCAGCAGCAGC
rnacentral:rRNA from 1 species